AUAUGCGGUUCUCAGCAGGCAUCUAACGAGACGAAAUGUGAAGGAGAAGGAUGGGGGAUGCGUCUGAUUAGCUUGUUGCGGGUAACGGCCACCAAGGCGACGAUCAGUAGGGGUUCUGAGAGGAAGGUCCCCCACAUUGGAACUGAGACACGGUCCAAACUCCUACGGGAGGCAGCAGUGAGGAAUAUUGGUCAAUGGGCGAGAGCCUGAACCAGCCAAGUAGCGUGCAGGAUGACGGCCCUAUGGGUUGUAAACUGCUUUAUACGGGGAUAAAGUGAGCCACGUGUGACUUAUUGCAGGUACCGUAUGAAUAAGGACCGGCUAAUUCCGUG
rnacentral:rRNA from 1 species